CCAAAAACAAUGGCUUCCCAAUUUUAUACAAGGUGAGAAUAGACUUCAUGGUCCGGGCCCAAAAAUUAUAAGGCAAAUCGUAGUUCUCUGUUGAACUGGCUAUUGUGGAGUGAUAAAAUUCAGGUCUCUUGCCAUAAAAUUCAUUAGUGAAUUUGGAUGUUAACAAAGGCUAGGACGGUAGCCAAAGCAGCAGACUGAAUGGAGACUACUUGUGGUGGCAUAUUGCUUCAGAGUGAAUUUUAAAGUUUCAUACCGCAUGAAUUUUUAGUAGUUUUGUGUAUUGCUUUAUCAGGACCACUACUGUGGUGGCAUGAAUUUUUUUUUUUAAAAAUAUAUGUAAGUGACUCUUUCUGUCAUUAUGCAGUCAAUUUGGAAAAAUGAUUGCUUAUAGUGUCCAAAUUGACUACCAGAGUGAUUUGGGGCAAAACAUUGUUCAAAUUCAAAUAUUUAUCUUGCUUCA